GUCGAGCGGUAGCACAGAGAGCUUGCUCUCGGGUGACGAGCGGCGGACGGGUGAGUAAUGUCUGGGAAACUGCCUGAUGGAGGGGGAUAACUACUGGAAACGGUAGCUAAUACCGCAUAAUGUCGCAAGACCAAAGUGGGGGACCUUCGGGCCUCAUGCCAUCAGAUGUGCCCAGAUGGGAUUAGCUAGUAGGUGGGGUAACGGCUCACCUAGGCGACGAUCCCUAGCUGGUCUGAGAGGAUGACCAGCCACACUGGAACUGAGACACGGUCCAGACUCCUACGGGAGGCAGCAGUGGGGAAUAUUGCACAAUGGGCGCAAGCCUGAUGCAGCCAUGCCGCGUGUGUGAAGAAGGCCUUCGGGUUGUAAAGCACUUUCAGCGGGGAGGAAGGCGUUAAGGUUAAUAACCUUGGCGAUUGACGUUACCCGCAGAAGAAGCACCGGCUAACUCCGUGCCAGCAGCCGCGGUAAUACGGAGGGUGCAAGCGUUAAUCGGAAUUACUGGGCGUAAAGCGCACGCAGGCGGUCUGUCAAGUCGGAUGUGAAAUCCCCGGGCUCAACCUGGGAACUGCAUUCGAAACUGGCAGGCUAGAGUCUUGUAGAGGGGGGUAGAAUUCCAGGUGUAGCGGUGAAAUGCGUAGAGAUCUGGAGGAAUACCGGUGGCGAAGGCGGCCCCCUGGACAAAGACUGACGCUCAGGUGCGAAAGCGUGGGGAGCAAACAGGAUUAGAUACCCUGGUAGUCCACGCCGUAAACGAUGUCGAUUUGGAGGUUGUGCCCUUGAGGCGUGGCUUCCGGAGCUAACGCGUUAAAUCGACCGCCUGGAGAGUACGGCCGCAAGGUUAAAACUCAAAUGAAUUGACGGGGGCCCGCACAAGCGGUGGAGCAUGUGGUUUAAUUCGAUGCAACGCGAAGAACCUUACCUGGUCUUGACAUCCACAGAACUUUCCAGAGAUGGAUUGGUGCCUUCGGGAACUGUGAGACAGGUGCUGCAUGGCUGUCGUCAGCUCGUGUUGUGAAAUGUUGGGUUAAGUCCCGCAACGAGCGCAACCCUUAUCCUUUGUUGCCAGCGGUUCGGCCGGGAACUCAAAGGAGACUGCCAGUGAUAAACUGGAGGAAGGUGGGGAUGACGUCAAGUCAUCAUGGCCCUUACGACCAGGGCUACACACGUGCUACAAUGGCAUAUACAAAGAGAAGCGACCUCGCGAGAGCAAGCGGACCUCAUAAAGUAUGUCGUAGUCCGGAUUGGAGUCUGCAACUCGACUCCAUGAAGUCGGAAUCGCUAGUAAUCGUAGAUCAGAAUGCUACGGUGAAUACGUUCCCGGGCCUUGUACACACCGCCCGUCACACCAUGGGAGUGGGUUGCAAAAGAAGUAGGUAGCUUAACCUUCGGGAGGGCGC
rnacentral:rRNA from 1 species